ensembl:lncRNA
UUUGUUGUUGUUGAUUUCCUUUCCUUUUAGGGAAUUUCUUUUAGGUACUCUUUAAAGAUACAACAAAUUUUCUUAGUUUUCCUUUGUUUGAUAAAUACCUAUUCUUUUCACUCCCUGGAGGAAUUUUGCCACAUAUUGAAUCUACAGUUGACAGUUAUUUUCCCUCAAUAGUUUAAAAAAUAGUCACUCCCUUCUGCGUCCUAUGGUUUCAGGUGAAAGCUCAGCUGACUUGAAUUGGUGUUGCCUCAUGAGCAACAUUGAUUUCUCUCCAGCUGCUUUCAAAAUUUAUUCAGUCUUUGGUUUUUUGACGUUUAAUUAUGAUGUGAUUGGCACGAACUUCUUCGGGUUUACGAUUAUUGAGGUUUGUUUAGCUUGUUAAAUCUGCAGCUGUAUGUCUUUUGCCACAUCUGGAAAGUUUUCAGCUAUUAUUUCUCUGAAUGCUUUUCUGAUGACUCUUGUGCCCUGUGACGUAAGGGGAGGACCGGGAAAGGAAAGUCCUUCCCGGCCACACCAUCUCUGCAGUGAGGUGCGCUCCAGCUUCUGUGAAAGGGGCUCCCGCUAAAGGGGCUCCCACCGCAGCCCUCGCAGUGCUGUCCAGUCAAGUGGGGCGUUUCCAGCCGGCUCUGCCCUAGGACACAGCCCGGUCAGGAGAGGGGAGUCACACCGCUUAUUUUACCGAGAAAACGUCAUGUGAAGAAUGUAGCCGAGAGGCUAAAGAGAGAACUCUGGGUCGCCAUGAGGUACCCACUGUGGGCUGCGGCCGCGCGCCUAGCAGGGGGCACGAAGGGCAGGGCUUGGAGCUCUUAGGCCUCAGAAGGCCGCGGGAAGGCCGGUGCACCUCCAGCGUGGGACCUAACGGCUGCUGCGCGGGGCAUCGGCGGGGGCCGACGUCACAAAGAGGUCGCUCCCGUCACGCCAACGCCUCAAAGAGGUUGCUCCCUUCACGCCCACCUCACAAAGGGGUCGCUUCCGCACGUGCAAGACUCAGCGGCAAGGGCGUGCGACGCGCAGGCGCCGGGAAGCCCAUGGGGCGGAAACUGGAGCGAGCCCGCCCUCCUCCAGCCCCGCGGCCUCCCUUUCGCGCCCCCUAUCGGCAGGGCCAGUGGGGCAGCAGAAGCGUGGCUCGCAGGGCCCAGCCCCAGCCACAUGCACCGAGCUGAGCGCGCGCUGGCCUGUGUGGAGCCCAGGCAAGAACGGAGUAACUGGUACAGAGGAGGCUUUGCGUUUUCAGGAAUGCAGUGUCCCGUCUCCAGGAGCUCUGCAGAGUCUCAUCCAUCUCUGGGGAAGGAAGACACCCGGCUGCAAUCACGAACCCCGCACCCGUCCAGGUCUCAGCUCGUGCCGUCACCCCUGAGGCUGGAACAGUCUCUGAAGAGGGGCUGCACAGUUCCACGGGGGAAACUGUGAAGGAAAACAUAGGCCUGGCCUGUCAGCGGGGGAGUCCCAGAAAACUCUCUGGUCAGUCGGCGCUUGAAGAUAAAACUCAGCCAUAGAAGGGUAAGCUUUCAUAAAGUGGAAAGAAACAUCUGUAGCCAGAGACGGAUAUAAGAAUAGCAUAGACAGCACAGGGAACAAAGCGAGACCCCGUUUCUACAAAAAAUACAAAAAUUAGUCGUACGCUGUGGUGCACGCCUGUGUUCCCAGCUGCUCGGGAGGCUGAAGUGGGAGGAUCCCUUGAACCUGGAGGUUGAGGCUGCAGUGAGCUACAGUCAGGCUACUGCACUCCAGCCUCGGUGACAGUGCAAGACCGUGUCAUUAAAAUGACUUGAGGAGGAGGAAAGGAUCUAUUCAGGGCCAGCAAUGUCUACUUUAAAACACUAUUGUGAGGAUAGAGUCUGAAAUUUUAAAUUAAAAAUGAGCACAGACGUGGACAAGCACUCAAUAAACAAACAGAACCUUUAUGUAUGUAGUCUAAGAGGGGGUCAGGGAGUCCAUUUACUGCGGCGUUAGCCUGAGGUUGAAAAGUGGGCUCAAAUAUUUUAAUAUUCUAGAAUGUUUGUUUGCUUGAGUAAAAAUCAGAAGGGGUAAUUAUGGGAUGACGGUGAUAGUCUAAGUGUAAUUUUUAAAAUCUCUUCAGGUCCUCCAUACAAAUAGGUAGAGCAAAAUGGACAACAUCUGCAAUAAAACUAGGUAACAAGUUUUAUCCACAAGCCUCAAGAUGAAAGCCAUUGGGGACAAAUCCCUUAUAGCUGGGUCCAUGUGGCACCAGCAUCUGAAAGGAGUGAGCUGAGGGAAGCAACGCAAUAUCUUAUGAAUCUGAGAGCAGAAGACUCAAAGCACUCCUGGAUAAUUCCUGGAGAGUAGUGGGCUUAUUUGUAAACAGCAGAUGAAAUAGGGAAAACA